CCUACGGGGGGCAGCAGUGGGGGAUAUUGGACAAUGGGGGCAACCCUGACCCAGCGACGCCGCGUGAGUGAAGAAGUAUUUCGGUAUGUAAAGCUCUAUUAGCAGGGAAGAAGAAAUGACGGUACCUGAGGAAGAAGCCCCGGCUAACUACGUGCCAGCAGCCGCGGUAAUACGUAGGUGGCAAGCGUUAUCCGGAUUUACUGGGUGUAAAGGGCGCGUAGCCGGUGUUGUAAGUCUGGAGUGAAAGGCGGGGGCCCAACCCCCGGACUGCACUGGAAACUGUGUGACUGGAGUGCAGGAGAGGUGGGCGGAAUUCCUAGUGUAGCGGUGAAAUGCGUAGAUAUUAGGAGGAACACCAGUGGCGAAGGCGGCUUACUGGACGGUAACUGACGGUGAGGCGCGAAAGCGUGGGGAGCAAACAGGAUUAGAUACCCCAGUAGUC
rnacentral:rRNA from 1 species